UGUUUAUUGUGUGAACAGGAAGUGGAAAAUUGUCUGUAGAUACUGAGACCGUUACCUGAAGAUUAGUGACCGGACAGUGGAACCUGUUGAUAGUGAGGGACACGAUAGCGAGGCUGAAGAAUCAUUUAAUUCUUUGAUACAAGAAGAGAGAAACGACAAGUUUACCAUUACCUGAUGGUAGCGACACGACAUUGGGACCUGAUACUGAGGGACCCGAUAGCGAGGCUAAAGGAUCAUUUAAUUCUUCGAUACUAGAAGAGAGAAACGAUGAGUUUGUGUAGACUGUU